rnacentral:rRNA from 1 species
GAUGAACGCUGGCGGCGUGCCUAACACAUGCAAGUCGAGCGGGAAAUCUUGGAAUGAUCCUUCGGGUGAAUGAAAAGAUGGAGAGCGGCGGACGGGUGAGUAACGCGUAGGCAACCUGCCCUUUGCAGAGGGAUAGCCACUGGAAACGGUGAUUAAAACCUCAUAAUGCUGCGAAUACACAUGUAUUUGUAGUCAAAGAUUUAUCGGCAAAGGAUGGGCCUGCGUCUGAUUAGCUAGUUGGUGAGGUAACGGCUCACCAAGGCAACGAUCAGUAGCCGACCUGAGAGGGUAAUCGGCCACAUUGGAACUGAGACACGGUCCAA